rnacentral:rRNA from 1 species
AUUGAACGCUGGCGGCAGGCUUAACACAUGCAAGUCGUGCGGGGUGAUGGUGCUUGCACUAUCACUUAGCGGCGGACGGGUGAGUAAUGCUUAGGAAUCUGCCUAUUAGUGGGGGACAACAUCUCGAAAGGGAUGCUAGUACCGCAUACGUCCUACGGGAGAAAGCAGGGGAUCACUCGUGACCUUGCGCUAAUAGAUGAGCCUAAGUCGGAUUAGCUAGUUGGUGGGGUAAAGGCCUACCAAGGCGACGAUCUGUAGCGGGUCUGAGAGGAUGAUCCGCCACACUGGGACUGAGACCCGGCCCAGAAUCCUACGGGAGGCAGCAGUGGGGAAUAUUGGACAAUGGGGGGAACCCUGAUCCAGCCAUGCCGCGUGUGUGAAGAAGGCCUUAUGGUUGUAAAGCACUUUAAGCGAGGAGGAGGCUCUUUUGGUUAAUACCCAAGAUGAGUGGACGUUACUCGCAGAAUAAGCACCGGCUAACUCUGUGCCAGCCGCCGCGGUAA